GACGAACGCUGGCGGCGUGCUUAACACAUGCAAGUCGAACGGAAAGGCCCUGCUUGUGUGGGGUGCUCGAGUGGCGAACGGGUGAGUAACACGUGAGUAACCUGCCCUGGACUUUGGGAUAACUUCAGGAAACUGGGGCUAAUACCGGAUAGGAGCUCCUGCUGCAUGGUGGGGGUUGGAAAGUUUCGGCGGUUGGGGAUGGACUCGCGGCUUAUCAGCUUGUUGGUGGGGUAGUGGCUUACCAAGGCUUUGACGGGUAGCCGGCCUGAGAGGGUGACCGGCCACAUUGGGACUGAGAUACGGCCCAGACUCCUACGGGAGGCAGCAGUGGGGAAUAUUGUACAAUGGGCGGAAGCCUGAUGCAGCAACGCCGCGUGCGGGAUGACGGCCUUCGGGUUGUAAACCGCUUUCGCCUGUGACGAAGCGUGAGUGACGGUAAUGGGUAAAGAAGCACCGGCUAACUACGUG
rnacentral:rRNA from 1 species